rnacentral:lncRNA from 1 species
UUUUUUUUUUUUUUUUUUGGUGCCUUUUUAUCAGAGGGUGCGAGGAGGAGAAGAGAGGGGAGGAGAUGGGAGCUUUGAGUGUAUAUGAUUAGCUCAAUUGGGUAUUUCUCGUGUUAAUUCAUUUUGUUUUUAAAUGAGUCACCCAUGUUUUAUUAUUCCUUAAAUCGGCAACUAGGUUAAUAGGUUAUUUUCCAAUUCUUUCAUAAUUUUGUUACAAUUUUAUUGUUGGGCAUGAAACAACGCAUGACCUUUUCCAUAGAAAUUUGAAAAAAUUCAUCAAAUGUGCUCAAAUAUUAUAACAUUGAGUAUCGAAUUUAUUUUUGUCCAAAGUUCGGGUACCAGAAUCGCUGAAGAGUCAAACUUUGAAUACCAAAACUACAUUUUAUUCAUUAAGUAACUGAACGAUUGAAUCGUCUUGUUAAGCUUUGUAAGAUUUUGGUCGAUUUAAGUUGUUUUAAUCAGGUUUAGUAGACAAAAAAAAAAAAAAAAAAAUUUCAAGUAAUAAGUGAGGCCUAGUUUUCUUUAAUACUCCAUACAAGUAUACAACCACCACCCCAAAAAACCAAAAAAAAGGAAAGAAAAAGAAAAUGAGAAAAUUUGAAAAAUAAUAUUCAGUAAUACUUCAACUAAAACCUAUAUAAUCUCCUUCAUUCCCACCCACAAACGUGAUUUUGAAAUUUCUUACUUUGUUCCCAAAGAUGAAACAAAAAAUACAGCGAGUAUUAGUGUAAAAAUUUUGGCCCAACAGCACCAAAUAUUAGGUAAUUCUGAUGUACAUACAUUACAUACAUGCCCUCUCCCUCUCAGAUUAAAUUUCAAAAUCCGACUUCAUCUCCCAGUACCCAAUGGCGAAUGCACCUGAAAUCAAAGACAAGUGGUCCUAGACGUGGUUUAAAACAUCAGAGUCGAAGAGCUGUUCCAGUUCCACUUCCACCUCUUAGCUAAAGAAACCAUAACUGUCCACCACCUCUUGAAGUUCCAUAACUACUCUUCAACAAAUCUCCUUUUCUCCACUCUACAGCCAAAUAUCUUAAAUUAAAAACUGAACCCAAUGGUUUUUAACGUACGUUGGUCCUUUAGGUAGCACAAAUGCAUAAUUGUGCUCAACGCAUUUAAUACUUAAUGACCUCAACAGUCCUCAUUUCUCUCCAUAGACUAAACGCACACCAUCUUUGUAUUAAACUUCUACUUCUUCACAUGACGUAUAUAUUGUAUGUAGUACACAGUUUCCUUCCCAGGACGCUCCCACAUUUAUGGCCUUCUUCCCUUGAUCACAAGUUUUUUCGGGGUUGCAAAGCUCUGCUUUCUUUACUCGUCAAAUUAACCACCAAGAUAUUAUUCUUUUUGUUGUGAAGAUGAUGAAUUUGAGUUGCUUUAGUACUUGCGGGACUUUGGUUUUAUUAGUUCUUUUGUUUUGGGGUGACGUUCCAAAAGGUCCUUCUAAGGUUUACGCUGUGGAAGAGUUUGAGAAGCACUAUAUUGAGUGGGAUGACUUGACAGUGGCUGAUGAGAGUGAUCAAGGGUUAGACUUGGAUCAAAGAAAACCUAGCAAAGUUAUUGUGGUUGAUAAAAAUGGCGGAGGAGAUUCAGUUACAGUUCAGGGUGCUGUUGAUCUUGUUCCCGAACACAAUCAGUUGAGACAUAAAAUUUACAUUCUUCCAGGAAUAUACAGGUUCCUCUUAACAUGGUGAUGCAUCAUUUAUUUGUGCAGAAUUCAUGCUUGUUUCCGUGAUUAUGUGUGUUUUUCCGCACGUUUUACUUUUUCUUGAUAUCUUCCCUCCCCUUGGAAGGUUGAAGCGCAGAUUUUCUUUCCAGCAAGAGUCAUUGCAUUUUCCCCAAGUAUAUUUGCAUGCAACGACAAGAAAAUAGGACGUGGGUUGUAGCUAGCGUUCAUGGAAGUUAUUAACAUAGUUAGUGGGCUAGCCAUUUUCGGUUUGUUUUGUUAAUUAACUUGUUAUAUAUUUUGUGCAUGCAUGGACCUCGGUGCCUGGUUAAAAUUGCUGGACAGAGAAAAGGUGCGUGUGCCAAAAUCCAAACCGUACGUUUCUUUCAUUGGAGAGGAAGGUCGAGCAUCCGAAACCGUUAUUACUUGGCACGACAAAGCAUCUGAUAAAGACGCAGAUGGUAAUGAAAUAGGGACCUUUGGAACGGCUUCCGUUACUGUGGAAUCCGAUUACUUUGGUGCAAGAGAGGUCACAUUCGAGGUACUAAUAAUUAGUUGUCUCUGCUGCAAAAUCUCUCAGUUAAAUACGAGGUUGAGAGUUAAUUCUGGGACAGACUGAUUAAUUUCUUAGUACCUCUCCUCCUCCAUGGAUUUAUUAUUGCAGAAUUCGGUGGUCGCAAUUCCUGGAACCAACAAUAUGCAAGCUGUGGCAUUGAGAUUAAAAGGUGAUAAAGCGUGGCUGUAUAGAGUUAGGAUUUUAGGGACACAGGAUACGCUGCUGGAUGAAUCUGGGUUACAUUUCUAUGAAGAGUGUUUCAUUCAAGGCUCCGUAGACUUCAUAUUUGGCAAUGCCAAGUCCCUUUAUCGGGUAUUUUCUUCUAAAAACCCCCCUUCUUCUUUUUUUUUCCUUUCCGUAUUUUAAUCGUGUAGCGGGCUAUCAAUAUCAUGGGUUGGAGUUGUACAGGACUGUAUCCUUCACUCUGUAGCAAACGGAUCCGGAGCAAUAGCAGCAAAUCAUAGAGACACACCUAAUCAGGAUUCUGGGUUCUCUUUUGUCCACUGUCAAAUCAAAGGGACUGGCAGAAUCCUCCUGGGCAGAGCCUGGGGAAAUUACUCCAAAGUAGCCUACUCUUUCUGCGAUUUUGACGACAUAAUCGCUCCUGAAGGGUGGAGUGAUUGGAACAGCACAGCCAAGGAAAGGUAUAGGAAGGUUCUUGCAGUUUCUCUUAUUGUUACUGCUCAAAUGUUUAACUGGCUGCUCUGGCGUAGGACCGUGGAAUUUGGAGAAUUCCGUUGCAGAGGCAAGGGGGCCGGCAGGAGAAAUCGGGUGGCGUGGUCUAAAUCUUUCAGUUUCUAUGAAGCGCUGCCCUUCUUAACCACCCAAUUCAUCCAUGCUUAUCAAUGGCUGCUACGGCGAUGAAGAGAGUUCAUGUUUUGCAAUCAUGAAGAGAGUUCUAUUAACUGUGUCUUACAUUAUUAGACGGUACAGAAUGCAGCACCAGCAAUCAACUGCCUUUACAUUAUUGUCAUAAACGAGUUCACUAGUUGUGUCUAAUAUGUAGUGACUAAUUUUAUCACCACCUGCUUCUAGGUCAGUUGUAGCAUCGUUUUGGAAAACAUUAAUUGCCUAUCGUAUACCAUAUGGUUGCAAAUGUUUCCACUUUUCAGUCCAAGAACGAAGGCAAAUGCAAGUGGGUUAGGCCUUGCUGCAUGAAGACAUCACAACUGACAUGAUAUAUGGUACUAUAUUUAUAUAUAUAUAUAUAUAUAACCAUUUGAAUUUGAACGUUACAAUGGGAUUAAAUACAAGUGAUAAGCAAGAACACAUAUCAAUAAAGACUACGAAGAGUAGCCAACAGAGGAAGAGGUGGUCCAAACCCAUAUCACCAGACUUGUGUUCCCUAUCCAUCAUAUACUGGUGUUCCCAUACCACCAAAGCUUUUCCCUUGCUACAGGCUCCCGAAUCCUCCCCGUCAAAGCAACCGUCAAAAGCAACGCAAUUUCCUAGUCCUAUCUAUUUACAUCUAACCUAGUACUUUUAACAAUCAUCACCGCAUCCAACAGUUAAUACAACUGUUAAAAGACAUUCUGACAGCAUCUUACUCAGCCGCUUCCGCUCUUUCAGCUUCACAUUGCCGCCCACCAGUCCCAAUUUCUGCUAACUUGUCUUCAUGGCUUCCCUCAUUGUCAUCAUCACUAUUCUGUGAAUUGGCCAUAACAGAACUGUUAUCAGCAAGGUGAGAUUCCGCAUUGUCCCUUACAUCACUGUCAUCAACUUGUUUACCACAAUGUUCCCUAUCUUCACAAUCAAACACUUGCUGCUGAUCGCUAUCGGCACACGCACCAUUCGGGGUCUCAUGGACAACGUCAAGUUUGAUGUCAGUUGGAGCCUUAAGGCAUGAAACAGGAGACCCAUCAGAUUUGACCUCCUUGGUAAUGGCUGAUGAAACAGAAUGCUUACUAUCUAAACUAAUAGCUGCAGAUAUGAUUGAGAGAAUAUCAGGGUUUCCCUCAACAUCCAUCCACUGAUCUCCCACCCAGUCUCUUGAUAUUCUUAGCUUCUUUUUGUCUAUAUUCAAAACCAAGUUUUCACCUGAUAUAAAACACAAGGUAGGAUUAGAAAAGUGGUUCCUGGGGUCCGGAUAAUGUGGCAAGAUCAUGCAAUAAAGUGAAAAAAAAAAAGUUCAGCUGAUGUCUUCAACAAAAAUAAUAAAUAACACUUACUGGGAAUAUAAACUUGAUAACUGCCUUUGCCAGAGUUGUAAUUUCCAGUGACUACUCCCUCCCACCAGCCGUCACUCCACCAGGCAUCAACAGGAGCUCCAACCUUGAAGACAUCAUCCAUUUGAUUAGAAGUGACAGCAGGCCUAAUAGUUGGUCGGCCUGGGUAUCUCAUUCCAAAUUUAUCAGGAGUUGCCAGUCUAAAUGCCGGGAUCCAUUCCUACCAGGUGCAAGAAAACGUCAACUCACAUCUUUCAAAUUAAAUCUAAUUUAAAAAUUUGCGCCGUCAAGGCACGAAGGAAAAGUUAGCGUGAAUAAUGAGAAUACUUUGUGAUACCAAUUGGAAGAAUCUAAAACCUUUAUAGAGCUAAAACUUUCCUUGCAAGGAAUCAGUUAAUUAGUGUUUAACUUGACAUUUCUUUCAUCAGGAAUAUUUAUGGCCAUAAACACCUGGCCCAUUGUACCAUCAAAAGGUUAACAAGGAUAUCUUUGAUAUUAUUUAGUAACAUUUCUGACAUGACAACUAUUACUCACGAAGUCACAAGGAUCUUUGCUAUAUAUUUAAAAUUGCAUCUUAGCAAUAAAAAAAUAAAUAAAUAAAAGAAAACAUUAAGUACCUCAAGAUAUCCACAGCCAUCUUCAUCCUCAAUGUCAUCAUAUUGGAUUCUCAUCUGUCUUCUUGAGAUCUCCAAUACAGUGCACCUGAACCAGCAGCCCCUGAUGCCACUAUCUUGGCACAAAAAUUCAAUCUUAUCAUUGACAUUAAACAUUGGAGUCUGCCAAAAUUGACCUUCAACAUGUUUUUGCAAGUUCGGUCCCCCAUUUAGCAGACCAUACUUCAAUUUAUCAGAGGAAAAUUUGUUUGUCACAUGUUGAGGUUCUCUACCUCUCUUCGUCCUUUUAACACCCACUUUUACCUCAUCCCCAGAGCUAAAUUCUUCAUCUUCAAAGAAAUCACGGCUAAAGCAUGAGAAAAUUGGUUGAUUAAAAUAUCCACCCAAUUUACUUAGCUUGAAUGGUUUGACUCGAUUGCUCUUGAAUUGUCUAAAACAAAAAUGUGCUCGAGCAAACACAUCAUUUGGGAAAACAGCUAUGCACUUCUCAUAAUGUUCACGAGUCAAAACUAUUGCAGGACCAUCAACACACUCCGCACUGAUAACUUGAGCAUAAGGUGUAAUAAAUACUUCUUUAGGAUGCGGGUUCCGUACAGAAACAACACCCCUUACUUCUCGAUUAUGGUGAAACCAUCUCACUUUUACCUUUUUGUGGCCCUUUCUGUCUUCAUACAUAUCUUCCAAAUAUGCAAGAUACCUGUUCUCCUUUUCAGCCAUGACAUAUACAAAUGAUUGAACCUGAAAAUUAGACUGCACAUCAGUCUAGGCAAAAUAUUGAAAUCCAAAUGACGCAUCAAAACAACAUAGAAAGAAAUAUAUAUUAACAACUCAAGGAAAACAUAAGGAGCAUGCAGUUGAUUUCCCCAGGUAUUGGAUGUCCCAAGCCUUCAGACUCAUCAUACUCAGCGGUCACACUAAAUAAUCAAAAUCUCAAAGGGGAAAAGGAAGUCCACAUCUUAUGCAAAUGCUACUGAGAAAACCUCAUGUCAAGUCUUUAGGACGUCUCAGUACGCUCACCGCUAUAGUAACCCCAUUUCUGCAAAAUGCUGGGAAGUGCUUAAGUUGUUUACCACAUGCCCAUGCUUCAUCAGACCAAACUAUAUCCGAGGGAUUUCCUCUUAAAUUCCUUGCAAGACGGCCCUGAAAUGAAAGAGCACCUGCAUUAAGUUUCACUUCUACUUCAGACUGCAUAAGAAAGAAGAGGAAAACCAGUACCUUAGGUUCUCGAAUUUGUGGCUGUCUAAUGUUGACGGCAAAAAUUGGAUCAUCUUUUGGUGAUCCUGUAAAGAAGAAGGGCAAUCUUCAAUUGAAGGAACUAAACAAUCUAUAAAUGUCAAAGCCAAUAUACUCGCACCAAACCAUUAUGGCUACUGGUCUUGAAUAAAGGUAAAAAUGUAAUAUGACAGAAUCAGUGAAGGAAUAUGCAAAAUAUUAUACAAACCUCUACCUUGCACGAGAAUUUAAUCCACAAAAACAUUGCCAUGAAUUCAAUGUUCAAUUUCAAAAAACUGAGAAAAAAUUGUCUCUAAUGUCCAGAAAUAUCACGAAUGAAAUUAAAAGCCUUCAGCAAAGGCUUAUCCGGGCGGUAAACCCCCAUGUCUAAAAAUAACCUGCCAACCCCCCGGCCCACCAAGAAGAAAAAGAAAAAUCAAAUAGCCAGGUAAGUAUCCAUACUUACAAAUAUAACUUAGUUAAUCAAGAUUAAUUUCUCAAUGAUGGCUCACAAAUCCUCAACAGGGUAAACAAGGUCAUAUCCUUCCAAAAUCAAAACUUCUAAGUAUCGAAGCAUGCUUAUCAAAGAAACAAGUGUUAACGCGUACCCAUGAACGCUUGCACAGGGCACCACGAUUGUGAAAACUCAAAUGCAAAUAGAAAAGCGAUGAGAAGGGAGGCAAAGUGGAAGACACAAAGCUUCAGAGCUAUAAAACAGGGAGAAGCCAACAAUUUCUCUAAUUUUUAUCAAACCUUCAAAAAGUAUCAGAAUAUGCAGUUUAGAAGAGAGUUCCACAAUUGAAUCAAUAUCGGACUUGCUAAAUCAAAGAUAUGGGCAAUCGCACAACACACAGCUGGAAAACAGCUAGCACUACAAAUGACGGCAAAAACAUACUUGAGCAAUCGCUUUGUCUAUGCUGUUUUGAAAGCAUAGAUGUGAGCCAAUUUACGACCUCUCUCCUUGAUCUCCAUCUGAAGCCAGCAUGGACAGAAUUCUCAGCCCCAUAAGCAUUCAAAAACUCCUCAGAAACAACAUAGAACAUGUGCCUAACACUUCUCUCAGUACCCACAACAGCAAGAAUGGAUUCCCCUGAUGAAUCCUUCAAGAAAUAGUGAACCACCCGGUUACCCCUCUCUUUUGAAACAAAUUGUUCUUUCCACUCUACAAAACACUGAUCACUUGCAGCCAUAAUUCAAAUAAUACUAAACCUAACCUAGGGAGCUAAACGAACCGUCGAAGUCCUAAAAAAUCCCAAAUUUGCAAAACUUAAGCUGCCCUACAAAAGAAAUCUGUCAAAGGGUGUUGACCAAAGCAAACUAGCCGUCCACAAAAGCUAAAGCUGCAAUCUUUGCAAGAACUGAAGGACAAAAGGUUACAAUCUUGCCGAUUGAGUGCUCAAACUAAGUUCACUCAAAAGGGCUUUUCCGAAAUUCCAGCCGAAAGUCAAAGAAACUCAAAGCAGACAAAAAAGCAGGGUAUUUGGGGCAAAACUGAGGACGACCCACAAAAGCCCAUGGCUCAAAAGAUCUGAACGAACGGCAGAAACCUAAGUAAGAUAACAGUUCAAAACGCCACCUAACUUUUCAUUUCUCCUACCUAAGUAAAAAAAAAAAAAAAUCAUCAACAAAAUGAAGUAAGCGUCAGGGUUAACAACAAUAGGGACAGAGCUAAGAAGAAAUUAGCAAAUCCAAAUGGUUUGGGAGUUGAAUAGAGAAAAGAAUAGUAUGCCCCAGUUGAACGUGGAAAAAAAAUAAUAAUAAAAAAAAAGAACCAGUUUUUGUUCCCUGGCUUUCAGAAGCUGAACAUUGAAAAGCUAGCUAGGGAAGAAAGAGAAAAGGAGGAGGAGGAAGAGUUGAGGAGAAACACCGGAGAGAAAAUGGGGUUCAAUGGGAAAAGAAAGCAUAGUGGAAGGGAAGGCAAGGGAAGGGAGAGUUGCAGAGUCGUCAAAGGAAGCUGAAAGUGGAAACUGGAAACCCUUCGAGAUUUUUUUUUUUUUUUUGGAAUUGGGCAAGAGGGAGUGGGGAUGGGGUGGGGACUCGUAGCCGGUACCCGGUGGAAUGAUCAAAUGAGGUAACAGUAAACUAUGAUCAUAAUGAAAUCUAUCAUGUGAUUCGCUUAGAUGCUUUGAGCAAACAGUGGGACCUCCUACUUCAUCUUGAUCAGCUUGAUCUUGAUCCUACGGUUAUUCUGUAAAUUCUACUUUCUCACGGACGCCGUAAUUCUCAUUCGUAGGCAUGGCAACGGUUUCAGAAUUGUCGGUUCUGAUUUUUUAAAGAGGUAGAAUCAGAACCGUAUCAUAUAAGAUGGUUUUGGUUCUGAUUCUUUAAAAAGGUAGAACUAGAACUGCAUAGUUAUAAUUUUGGUUCCUUAUGGUUCUAGUUCUUGUUUUCGGUUCUAUAUAGUUGUAUAUAAUUUUAUUUAAUUCCUCAUCCUUACCAAUUUUAAUACGAAUAUAACAAUAUAUUUAAAAUUUCAAAUAAAAUGUAAAAAAAUAAAUACAAAAUAAAGAUCAUAUUUUAAUUUUAUUAUUAUUCUACAAAGUAAGAAGUAAUAAAUAGAUAAUAUAAAUUUUAUGAAAAGUAUAUUACAUUGUCAAAUUAAAAAAUACAUUACACUAUCAAAUGGUUGUCAUGUGUUAACUUUCUUGAGUUGGACAAUCAUCAAUGUUGAAGAUUCCAUUUGAAGAAAUAUUGCAAAAAAUAUUUUUUUGCUUGCUUGAUUUUGAAGAUGAGCUACUACCAUCAAAACUUGUCAUUUGAUAGCAAAUAAGUAAAAAAAAAAUGUGUAAGUAAUAAUUUAAUACUUACAAAUUAUAAUGAUAGAUAUUAGAUGAAUAGAAAGAAUUAAAUAAUUAAUAAAAUAUAUAGAAAGUCCAUAAAAUUUAAACUUUCUUAAAACCUAUUAAACACAACUUUUUUUUUUUGAAUUAUCUCACUACUUAUAUUAAUUAUUUUUAACGGUUCUGGAACCAGCGGUUCUGGUUCUGGUUCUAUUUUUUAGAGAACCAGAACCGGAACUACCACGGUUCUGGUUUCAUGAUUUUAGUUCUGAUUUUGGUCCAAUUCCAAACGGUCCGAUUCCGGUUCAAUUUCUGGUUCCAAAUGAAACCAUGGCCAUGCCUAAUUCGUAGGUCUCUAAUUUUAAUUUUCUCCAGCACCGCGGAUGACUCGUGUCUUCAGCCCAUUCUUCCCCAUGAAAUUUCUACUCUCAAUGGUCAAUGCUACCUUAGUCUCCCUUUUCUUUUUUUUUUGGAAGGAUGCAACCGUUAAAACCUCAUCCAUUUUUGGGUCGGGUGUAAAUGCUAACCAAAAAAGGUCGUGUGAUUUCUAGUAAUUUCGAUUGUUGAAAAAAAUUAAAUGCUAACCAAAAACAGGGCAUUGGCUGUUGUCGCAGAGUAUUUCCGGAAUGGUUCUUAAUUCUUGUACAGUUGUGAGAGCUGGUUUAAUGCUCCCCUCGACUCGACAGUUACUUUUUUGGGCAGAAACCUGGAAAAGUCAAGUAAAUGCCCCGUUUGAGCACAAGAUUUUGCCUUUAUUAAAUUAGGGACUUUUCAAAAAAAGUUAUUGGAUUUACAUGACGAACAGCAUCAACGCUAUUAUCCUUUUUUCCAAAAAGAUAAAAAAAAAAUAAAUUAUCAAUUUCAAUACAUGUGCUGUUGAAAGUAACUUCUGUAACACAACAACAGUGACAUCCACCGAGAACUCUGCGGUAAUUUUGGGUUUCGGUCGGCUAGAAGCAGUAUAUCAUUGGGUCCACAAGGGUCUGGAGGGCCGAUCCAAAAUGUACUAACCCACCUAGAAACAGACCAAAGACCUACUCAUGGUGGUCCAAAGUUCAACAGAUCAUUUUGAUCUUCGCCUAUGUAUGGGCCAGGCUUUUUUGGGCCCCGCGGCCAAGCUUCCAGAAGUGAAACCGAAAUGAAAGGUCGCGAAGCUAGCAGCAGUACUAGUUUCUUUAUGCACAGCAGCGUUAUUCCCUGUGCUUCGGGAAGACAAGGCAGGACGGUCAUUAAAAGGACCGUCCCUGAACAGUGCACGGUCAAAAUUUAAUUGUACGAUUCAAAUUACUUUUUGUACCUCGUUUUUUAUAACGUUUGUGGAAUCUACAAAAAUUUAUUUUAAAGUUACAUGUUGUGCAAAUAAAGAUGUUGUGCAAAUAAAGUUACGCCGUGUGCAAACAAAGUUAUGCCGUGUGUAAAGUGCACAAAAUCACUAGGAACGGGGGUUGCACCUAGGUCCGUGCUUCGGCUGCAAGUGCUAUUCCAUUUUCAUGUGCUUCCAAUAGCAGCAUGCUAUCAGCAAGAAAGAAAAUCAUCUUAGCAUAGCACCAGAUAAAUGUACAACGUGCCAUUUACAUAAUUUCAUCCAAAUGCUUCAUCAAUCAGUUUCUCUUGUGAUGCCUGACUGCUUUCCAAAUCGCCUUUCAACUACUAAUCCAACAGAUGUUACCAAGAAAAUGGCCUCCACAAACAUAGAAUUUCAGCUGCUCCAGUUCAAGGACUUUGUGCUAGCUUAGCCACAGGGGGGC